GGGCGGCUUGUACUGGGAGUUUUGAUCAUAAUUAUGACUUCUUUACAGCUAAGGUAGCUAGCUAUUCAUUCUAACUAGGCUAGUGAGUGGCCAUUAAAAUGGAUGAUAAAGAGAAGAAAGAAGAGACCAAGUCCUUACUAGAUGACGAAGAUGACACGUUAACACCAGACGACAGUGAUCGCGGAGUGGUUGCUCAAAAUUGCUUUCACACACACUAGUGUGCGGAGGAGGAGGUGACACGAUCGCUGGUACACUCUCAUGAUGGACUCUCACCACUGGCUGCACUACUCAAGGUCACUGAUAACAAGGACCUCCUCAUAGCCGUGACUGGGCUGUCUGGAAGUGUAGCAAGAGCAAGGAAAAUGUCAUAAAUUCAAAGAGUUGAAAGCAGUUGAGCAACUGGUAUCACUGUUGGGCAAUCAACCUGAAGAGGUUCUGAUGAAUAUGGUGGGAGCUCUGGGAGAGUGUGCUUCUCAAUUGGUGGGGUAGCCCUUCUCGUUUAACUACUCACAGGUACUAAUCAACCACUCCUCCUCAUCAACAAGUAAGAGAUGAUGUUGCCGGGUGUGUGAGGACAGUGAACAAGUUUAUGCAGGUGGUCGUGAGAGGGGGUGGGCACAUUCUCCCGUUUGACCAGCCGGAGAGAGCACUCAACCUCAUCCAGAACUUUGUGAACAUGCAAUAGCUUAUUAUAAUUAUGUUGUCUGGAAAUGAUCAUGCUUCAAGUAUAAGGAUAAAAAUGAAAUCUAUAAUUAUAGUCGUGUCA